UACGAAGGGGGCUAGCGUUGUUCGGAAUCACUGGGCGUAAAGGGCGCGUAGGCGGCCUGAUAAGUCGGGGGUGAAAGCCUGUGGCUCAACCACAGAAUUGCCUUCGAUACUGUUAGGCUUGAGACCGGAAGAGGUAAGUGGAACUGCGAGUGUAGAGGUGAAAUUCGUAGAUAUUCGCAAGAACACCAGUGGCGAAGGCGGCUUACUGGUCCGGUUCUGACGCUGAGGCACGAAAGCGUGGGGAGCAAACAGG
rnacentral:rRNA from 1 species